AAUUUAACAUGUUAGCUAUUACCAUGUUCUUGAUGUCACAUGUAGGGAGUUAUUAUGCAUGUAUAAAUAUUCAAUAUGAAUGUAUUUAUUUUGCAAUAAUACUUGAUCAUUAUCCCUUACAUUCCAAUAAUACAAUUUAUGCUUUUGAAAGUGAACUAAAAUUUCACUUUGACUUGAUUACAUUUGUGUUUUAACUCAUUUGAUUGAAGUAUUGAAUUUGUAGAGUAUAGAGAAGUAUAGUUAAAAAUAACAUGAUCCAGUCAUUGACUAAGCAUCUCUUCAACAAGGUUUGUCUUCUAAGUUUACUCUGGUAUAAUCAGCCACCAUGACUCUUUUUUUCAGGUAGUAGUUUGAUUUUGUUAUGUCUCUUUGAUUUCAGCUUGUAGGACUAGGUUUUGAUGCAAUUUUGGCUUUCAUAUUCACUAAUGUAUAACACUAAGGCUCUGCAGCUUUUUUCUAUUUUUUUAGUUAGUUUUAGACUCUCUUUGUUUUUUUUUACAAAAGAGUUAGUUUUAGACUUUUAGUAGUCACAAUUUGUUGAAUUCUGUUUUUGGUGAGUUUAUCAUGAAAUUCUGUUUGCAUGUUCUUUGUUGAAUUCAUAUGAGAAUUCCAUUCCAAUAUCAAUUUCUACAGCUUCCUCAUUGCUUAUAUUUUUCCUCUUUGAUUGCUUCCUAGACAGUAUAUGGACUAUGUAAAUCUUAAAUGAUGUUUCAGGCAACUACAAGAUACUGUGUUUUUAUUUUACAAAAUGAAUUUAUAUGGACUUUCAUUGAUGUUGUUUUCAGGAUUUUUAAACCUUGUUGAAGGAGAAAGACAAAUUCAAACCUGGAUGUUUUCAAGAAGGAGAAAGACAAAUUCAAACCUGGAUCUAAGGUAGAAGAAAAUUAAGGGUUGUUUAAGAACAAGUGGAGUGGCAGCAAAAGCUGCGUUUCUGUUACUGAACAGCUCGUCUAGCGAGAAGCAUCAUCGCCUAGCGAGGACAGCAGCGUGCUCUGCCUGUGUGUGUUGUUCUUUCCCCUAUCCAACCAUUCUUGAUCAUAGCUUCACAUUGAGUAGGGUACUGUGCUCCCCCCCCCCCCCCCCAAAAAAAAAGAGACUGCAGCUAUUUAGGAGCGAGGCCGGGUUUCUCUCUUAUUUGACGUUGUACAUUGUUUAGCUUAAGUUUUGGUAAGUUGCUAUAUAGGAGCUCUUAGAUCUUGCGAACUGUCUUGAUUUUGAUGACAAUAUUAGUGAUGCAAUUUAGGAAAGGGAUGUAUAGUAUGGUGCUAUUGUACAUAUGUGAUUUGAAUUUAAUAAGUAUUAGGCUUUGGCAUUUUAGUGUGGUGAACUAUCUUGAUUUAGGAAGGGAUCUAGGUAUGUGUGAAGUUAUUGUAUGGUGAAUUGUUUUGAUAUUAAUUUUGGAUGUUGAAUGGUACAUAUUAGCAUUGUUAA